rnacentral:lncRNA from 1 species
UAAAAAGUUAUGUAUUACCGUAGAAAAUAAUUAUAACAAAAAAGAUGGACGAAUUAUUGUUGUUGAGAAAUAAGGAAUUUUGCUAAGGAGAGCAGCAGAGCUGGAUUGAAAAGACAGGAGGAGGCCGGGGCCAAAGUUGGGGGUGAAGGCAAUCGCUCCCACGUUGCAAUUUGCAAAUCAUCAAACACCUUUUUUUUCCCCGAUUUGAUUUGAUUUGAUUUGAUUUUGAUUUGACAAAACCACACGACCCUCGCUCACCUUCACCUGGGGGGUUGCCGACUGAGGCCUUGACCGAUAGAUAACCCACACUCACAAUAAUAUUUUGAAACUUUUGCCCACCAGCACCAUUCUUCUCACUCGUCACCGAGCCAGCAAAAU